AUUGAACGCUGGCGGCAUGCUUUACACAUGCAAGUCGAACGGUAACAGGCCGCAAGGUGCUGACGAGUGGCGAACGGGUGAGUAAUGCAUCGGAACGUGCCCAGUCGUGGGGGAUAACGCAGCGAAAGCUGUGCUAAUACCGCAUACGAUCUAUGGAUGAAAGCGGGGGACCGUAAGGCCUCGCGCGAUUGGAGCGGGCGAUGUCAGAUUAGGUAGUUGGUGGGGUAAAGGCUCACCAAGCCAACGAUCUGUACCUGGUCUGAGAGGACGACCAGCCACACUGGGACUGAGACACGGCCCAGACUCCUACGGGAGGCAGCAGUGGGGAAUUUUGGACAAUGGGCGCAAGCCUGAUCCAGCAAUGCCGCGUGCAGGAAGAAGGCCUUCGGGUUGUAAACUGCUUUUGUACGGAACGAAAAGGUUUGGGUUAAUACCCUGGGCCGAUGACGGUACCGUAAGAAUAAGCACCGGCUAACUACGUGCCAGCAGCCGCCGUAA
rnacentral:rRNA from 1 species